rnacentral:rRNA from 1 species
UACGUAGGGUGCAAGCGUUGUCCGGAAUCAUUGGGCGUAAAGAGCGUGUAGGUGGCCCGAUCAGUCCGCUGUGAAAGCCCAGGGCUCAACCCUGGAAUGCCGGUGGAUACUGUCGGGCUAGAGUCCGGAAGGGGCGAGUGGAACUCCUGGUGUAGCGGUGAAAUGCGCAGAUAUCAGGAAGAACACCGAUGGCGAAGGCAGCUCGCUGGGACGGUACUGACACUGAGACGCGAAAGCGUGGGGAG